rnacentral:tRNA from 1 species
GUCAGAAUGGCCGAGUGGUCUAAGGUGCCAGACUCAAGGUUUGAUACCUUCCAGUUAGUUGAGUCUUCUGGUCUCCACAUGGAGGCGUGGGUUCAAAUCCCACUUCUGACA